rnacentral:rRNA from 1 species
CCUACGGGAGGCAGCAGUGAGGAAUAUUGGUCAAUGGACGAGAGUCUGAACCAGCCAAGUAGCGUGCAGGAUGACGGCCCUAUGGGUUGUAAACUGCUUUUAUAAGGGAAUAAAGUGAGCCUCGUGAGGCUUUUUGCAUGUACCUUAUGAAUAAGGACCGGCUAAUUCCGUGCCAGCAGC